GGCACGGCUCGGGCGGCUCCCGUCGUGCCCCGCGGCCUGCCGCGUCCCCUCUGACCCGCGGACGCCGCUCCCCCAUCCGGGCUCUCGGCGCCACACGGGGAAGAUGGCGGCCGCGAUCCCCGCCGAGUGGAUAAAGAACUGGGAGAAGGCGGGCAAGAACGAGUUUUUGCAACUGUGUCGCACUCUCAGUGAAAACAAAAGCCAUGAUAAUGUCGGUUUCAGAGAUAUCCAACAGGUUUUGUAUGAGCUUGCAUGUCAUGUUGUCAGAGGAAACCUAAAGCAUGAUCAAGCCUCUAAUGUUCUUGGUGAUGUUAUAGAAUUUCGGGAAGACAUGCCUUCCAUCUUAGCUGAUGUAUUCUGCAUAUUAGAUAUUGAAACAAGCUGUUUAGAAGAAAAAAGUAAGAGGGAUAAUUUUACUCAACUGGUAUUAGCCUGUUUGUAUCUUGUAUCUGAUACUGUCCUAAAGGAGCGUUUAGAUCCAGAAACACUAGAAUCACUAGGACUUAUCAAGCAGUCUCAACAGUUCAAUCAGAAAUCUGUUAAAAUAAAGACAAAGCUUUUUUAUAAACAACAAAAAUUUAAUUUGUUAAGAGAAGAGAAUGAAGGUUACGCAAAGCUGAUUGCAGAGCUGGGACAAGACUUAUCUGGAAAUAUCACUAGUGAUUUAAUCCUUGAAAAUAUCAAAUCUUUAAUAGGAUGUUUUAACCUUGAUCCCAACAGAGUUUUGGAUAUUAUCCUAGAAGUCUAUGAGUGCAGGCCUGAGUAUGAUGAUUUCUUUGUACCACUGAUAGAGUCAUACAUGUACAUGUGUGAACCACAAACUUUAUGCCAUAUCCUUGGGUUCAAAUUCAAAUUUUAUCAGGAUCCAAGUGGUGAAACGCCUCCUUCCUUAUACAGAGUUGCUGCUGUCUUGUUGCAACAUAAUCUGAUAGAUUUGGAAGAUCUUUAUGUCCAUCUUCUUCCAGGGGAUAAUGCCAUCAUUGAAGAACACAAGCGAGAAAUAGUGGAAGCUAAGCAAAUUGUCAGAAAACUUACAAUGGUUGUCUUAUCCUCUGAAAAGACUGAGGAAAAGGAGAAGGAAAAAGAAAAAGAGGAGGAGAAAACUGAAAAGCCACCUGAUAAUCAGAAACUUGGUUUAUUGGAAGCUUUAUUAAAUAUUGGUGAUUGGCAGCAUGCACAAAGUAUUAUGGAUCAGAUGCCUCCAUUUUAUGCUACUUCACAUAAGCCUAUUGCAAUUGCCCUUUGCCAGCUGUUGCAUGUGACAAUUGAACCUUUGUACCGCAGGGUUGGUGUACCAAAAGGGGCAAAAGGGUCACCAGUUUCUUCUUUGCCAAACAAGAGAGCACCAAAACAAGCAGACAGCUUUGAAGACUUGAGAAAGGAAGUGUUCAACAUGCUGUGCUACCUUGGUCCUCAUCUCUCCCACGAUCCCAUUUUAUUUGCUAAAGUGGUGCGCCUUGGAAAAGCAUUUAUGAAAGAGGUUGGAACUACGAAGAAAUUCAUCAGUGACAGAAUGGUUAAGUUUCAGUCUGAUGGAAGUAAGCAAGAAGAUAAAGAGAAAAUGGAGAUACUGUUUAGCUGUUUUCUGAGUAUUACCGAUCAAGUUUUGCUUCCAUCUCUUUCUUUGAUGGACUGCAAUGCAUGCAUGUCUGAGGAAUUAUGGGGAAUGUUCAAAACAUUUCCUUACCAGUACCGGUACCGUCUUUAUGGACAAUGGAAGAACGAAACCUACAAUAGUCAUCCGCUUCUAGUGAAAGUUAAAGCUCAAACCAUAGACCGAGCCAAAUAUAUUAUGAAGCGUCUGACUAAAGAAAAUGUGAAACCAUCUGGAAGACAAAUUGGAAAGCUCAGCCACAGCAAUCCUACGAUUUUAUUUGAUUAUAUUUUAUCACAAAUACAAAAAUACGAUAACUUAAUAACCCCAGUUGUUGAUUCACUGAAAUACCUCACUUCACUGAAUUACGAUGUCUUGGCAUACUGUAUCAUUGAAGCACUGGCAAAUCCCGAGAAGGAGAGAAUGAAACAUGAUGACACUACUAUUUCAAGCUGGCUUCAGAGUCUGGCUAGCUUUUGUGGUGCUGUUUUCAGAAAAUACCCAAUUGAACUUGCUGGUCUACUUCAAUAUGUAGCCAACCAACUGAAAGCUGGGAAAAGCUUUGAUUUGCUUAUUUUAAAAGAGGUAGUACAAAAAAUGGCAGGGAUAGAAAUUACAGAAGAAAUGACGAUGGAGCAAUUGGAAGCCAUGACUGGUGGAGAACAACUAAAAGCUGAGGGUGGAUACUUUGGUCAAAUCAGGAAUACAAAAAAAUCCUCUCAGAGAUUGAAAGACGCAUUAUUGGACCAUGACCUUGCCCUUCCACUGUGCCUGCUUAUGGCUCAGCAGAGAAAUGGUGUGAUCUUUCAAGAGGGAGGGGAAAAACAUCUGAAGCUGGUGGGAAAACUGUAUGACCAGUGCCAUGACACCCUGGUACAAUUUGGUGGGUUUCUAGCAUCCAAUCUAAGCACAGAGGAUUACAUUAAGCGAGUGCCUUCAAUUGACGUUCUCUGUAAUGAAUUUCACACACCUCAUGACGCUGCGUUUUUCCUCUCGAGACCUAUGUAUGCACACCAUAUUUCAUCCAAGUAUGAUGAACUAAAAAAAGCUGAAAAGGGAAAUAAACAGCAGCACAAGGUUCACAAAUAUAUUACAGCAUGUGAGCUGGUAAUGGCACCUGUUCAUGAUGCUGUGAUCUCUCUGCACCAUCCCAAGGUCUGGGAUGAUAUCAGUCCUCAGUUCUAUGCUACAUUCUGGUCUUUGACAAUGUAUGACCUUGCUGUCCCACAUAGUAGCUACGAUAGAGAAGUCAAUAAACUUAAAGUCCAGAUGAAAGCCAUAGAUGACAAUCAGGAAAUGCCUCCAAAUAAAAAGAAAAAAGAAAAAGAACGUUGCACAGCUCUUCAAGACAAGCUCCUUGAAGAGGAGAAGAAGCAGUUGGAGCAUGUGCAAAGGGUUCUACAGAGACUGAAACUGGAGAAGGAUAACUGGCUUCUGGCAAAGUCUACCAAAAAUGAGACUAUCACAAAAUUUUUGCAGUUAUGUAUAUUUCCUCGCUGCAUUUUUUCGGCAAUCGAUGCAGUUUAUUGUGCUCACUUUGUAGAACUGGUGCAUCAGCAGAAAACACCCAACUUCUCCACACUUCUCUGCUAUGACAGAGUUUUCUCUGAUAUUAUAUAUACAGUAGCAAGUUGCACUGAAAAUGAAGCUAGUAGAUAUGGCAGGUUUUUAUGCUGUAUGCUGGAGACUGUGACUAGAUGGCACAGUGACAGAGUCAUAUAUGAAAAGGAAUGUGGCAACUAUCCAGGCUUCCUAACCAUAUUACGGGCAACUGGAUUUGAUGGUGGAAAUAAAGCUGAUCAAUUGGAUUAUGAGAAUUUUAGACAUGUGGUACACAAAUGGCACUAUAAGUUAACUAAGGCUUCUGUACACUGCCUUGAAACAGGUGAAUAUACGCAUAUCAGAAACAUCCUGAUUGUGCUGACCAAAAUCCUCCCAUGGUAUCCAAAAGUGUUGAACCUGGGCCAAGCCUUGGAAAGAAGAGUACAUAAGAUAUGUCAGGAAGAGAAAGAGAAGAGACCUGAUCUAUAUGCAUUGGCUAUGGGCUAUUCUGGGCAGCUGAAAAGUAGGAAGCCUUUCAUGAUACCUGAAAAUGAAUUCCACCACAAAGACCCACCUGCCAGGAAUGCUGUAGCUGCAACAGUACAAAAUGGGCCAGGUGGUGCUGGGAUGCCUACAUCUCUCACAAUAAACACAGCUAAACUGGAGGAAAGCACUGCUGAAGAGACUGAAAAACUAAAGGAGAAGUCUCAGGGUGCUGUGAAAGUUAUUAAUAAAGCUGUCAACACUACACCGAAGGUGACAACAAGCAAUGGAAACAGUGCUUCUAAUAGCAAAAUUAUUAAGGAGAAAGAUGAUAAAGAAAAAAGUGGGAAGGAAAAAGAUAAAGAAAAAAAAGAAAAGAUUCCAGCUGCCACUCCAGAGAUGAAAACACUUGGGAAGGAUGGGAAAGACAAACCUAAGGAAGAACGGGUGAACAAAGAAGAUAAAGCAAGAGAGAUCAAGGAGAAAACACCAAAAUCUGACAAGGAGAAGGAAAAAGCCAAGAAAGAAGAAAAAGCUUCAAAGGAAGAAAAAUCCAAGACAGUUGUUACCACUGUCGAGUCAAAGUCAGCUGCAGAAAAGGAGAGAGAAAAGGAGCCACCCAGAGAAAAAGAUGUAGCCAAGGAUAUGAAAUCAAAGGAAAUUGCUAAAGGCGGAGAAAAGAUUCCAGUAGCUGGGUCCUUGAAGUCUCCUGUUCCCCGAUCAGAAACAUCAGAAUGUGAGAGGGAACAAAAACGCCGCAAAGUUGAUACCCAUUCUUCUCCAUCACAUUCCUCAACAGUAAAGGUUAGUAUAGCCUGAGGAAGGCAGCACCCAUGUUAGGCUCACAAGUUUGGGAUGCCAAUAUCCGACUUCCUUCAAGUUUUGUGCCAAGUAUACACUGGAGCCAAUGGAGGUUUUAUAUUGCAUUAGAAAAUGCAUUCCUUUUCUUUAUUGGCGGACUGUCUUUUUUCUAUUAAAGUAUAUUUUUAAUUAACCAAAGUAAAGCUUCAAGGACCUAGCACAAAUUUUGUAAAUAGUGUUUGGAAAUGGCAAGAGAAUUUUUACACAGAAGUGCCUCAUUGUUUUAAGCAGUCAGUUUUUUUGGAGUGCAAUGGUAGCUACAAGCAAAUGAGUCUUUGCAGCAGAAUGGAGCAUAUUUUUCUGCACUUCUAUUGAAGAAUCUAUAGCACUGAAGAUUCCUGGAUGAUACGGGAUGUAUGAUACCUCUGAAUUCAUCAGGCUUCUUGAUGAGCAUCUUACCGCUAUGUGCCUUCUAAGGAGGAGUCUUGAAAGGAGUUCCAUUUUAAAGUCUCCUUGGUGAUCAGUUCUCCUGUAGUUGUGUAUAAUCAGUGAGCAUGCAGCUUCUGUUGUACCUUCCCUUCGAGGUUUGUUUAUUUCCAAUGGGUUCCCACCAUGUUGAGCCCUGCGGUACGAUAAAACCAGAUGUGGCAACCAGGCCUACUACCCAGCAAAGAGAAACCCCAAGCAUUCAAGCGCAGCACAAUACCUUGGGCGUAGCCUACUCGAAGACUCAGGGUAGCCAUUCCUUGCUCCAUAUUUGUUUUAUUUCUAAACCAUCUAUGUUCAUGGAAUCUUUGAAUUUGCAGUACAUUGAACAUUUAAAACUGACAACCUCAACGAACUCAAGGAUUCUUCAGCAAAGCACUACAUUAACCACACUACUCCAACAUUGUCCAAGAGUAAAGAGAGAGAAGUGGACAAGAAAGAUUUGGACAAAUCAAGGGAAAGAUCCAGAGAG